rnacentral:rRNA from 1 species
UACGUAGGGUGCGAGCGUUGUCCGGAAUUACUGGGUGUAAAGGGUCCGCAGGCGGGCAAGCAAGUCGGUGGUGAAAUUCUCUGGCUCAACCAGGGAACUGCCGUCGAUACUGCUUGUCUUGAGUUCGAGAGAGGGUAAUGGAAUUCAUGGUGUAGCGGUGAAAUGCGUAGAGAUCAUGAAGAACACCAGUAGCGAAGGCGGUUACCUGGCUCGAUACCGACGCUCAGGGACGAAAGCGUGGGUAGCAAACAGGAUUAGAUACCCUGGUAGUCCACGCCUUAAACGAUGGAUGUUCGGUGUCGGUCCCGCUCAGCAUUUGCGUGCAAGUUCUGAGCGGGAUCGGUGCCUGAGCUAACGCGUUAAACAUCCCACCUGGGGAGUACGAUCGCAAGGUUGAAACUCAAAGGAAUUGACGGGGGCCCGCACAAGCAGUGGAGCAUGUGGUUCAAUUCGAUGCAACGCGAAGAACCUUACCUGGGUUUGAAAAGCAAGUGACACCCGAUGAAAGUCGGUCUCGUAGCAAUACGCACUUGUACAGGUGCUGCAUGGCUGUCGUCAGCUCGUGCCGUGAGGUGUUAGGUUAAGUCCUGCAACGAGCGCAACCCCUGCACUUAGUUGCCAUCAGGUCAAGCUGGGCACUCUAAGUGGACUGCCUACGCAAGUAGUGAGGAAGGUGGGGAUGACGUCAAGUCCUCAUGGCCCUUACACCCAGGGCCACACACGUGCUACAAUGGUUGGUACAAAGGGUUGCCAAGCCGCAAGGCGUAGCCAAUCCCAAAAAACCAGCCUCAGUUCGGAUUGGGGUCUGCAACUCGACCCCAUGAAGCUGGAAUUGCUAGUAAUCGCGUAUCAGCACGACGCGGUGAAUACGUUCCCGGGCCU